rnacentral:lncRNA from 8 species
GGAGGACUUGGAGGAAGCGAGAGCGGAACGGCGAUGAUACGAGGAACGAUACCAACCACGAGGCAAGCACGAGAGGCAGCCCCAAAAAUAUUUUUGGGGGGGAGGGGCACACAGGGAGAUUGGCAGAGUCAGUGUGGAGACCUGAGCCAACUCCCCGUGCUUACCGUGGGGAGCAUGUGACCAGUCGGGCACCGUGUUAUGCUGUGAUGCGCACUAUAUCUCCAGUGCGCAUUCAUAGCCCGGUGCGCUCUGUGCCUGCGCCCCGCAUUUGCCGUGCUAGAGUGGGCAUUCAGCCAGGACGGAUUGUGCCGGCCCUACGCUCCAGACCUCCAGUGCGCCUCCACGGCCCAGUAUAUCCUGCGCCAGCUCUACGCACUGUGUCGCCAGUGCGCCUUCAAAGCCCAGUUCAUCCUGUGCCAGUGCCCCACACUUGCCGGGCAAAAGUAAGCAUCCAGCCAGGACGGGUUAUUCCAGCACCAACGCUCCAGACCUCCAGUGCGCGUCCACGGCCCAGUAUAUCCUAUGCCAGCUCCGCACACCCAGUCUCCAGUGCGUCUCCCCAGUCCAGUGAGACCUGUUCUGGCUCCACGUACGAAGCCUCCAGUGAUGAUCAAUGGUCCAAAGCCUCCAGUGAUGAUCCAUGGCAAGAAGUCUCCAGUGAUGAUCCAUGGCGCGGAACCUGUAGUAAUGAUCCAUGGCACGGAGUCUGCAGUGAGGGUCCCAAGUCCGGAGCCUCCAGCGACGUCCCCCAGUCCGGAGCCUCCAGCGACCUCCCCCAGUCCGGAGCCUCCAGCGACCUCCCCCAGUCCGGAGCCUCCAGCGACCUCCCCCAGUCCGGAGCCUCCAGCGACCUCCCCCAGUCCGGAGCCUCCAGGGACGUUUCCCAGUCCGGAGCCUCCAGCGACGUUUCCCAGUCCGGAGCCUCCAGCGACGUCCCCCAGUCCGGAGCCUCCAGCGACGUCCCCCAGUCCGGAGCCUCCAGCGACGUCCCCCAGUCCGGAGCCUCCAGCGACAUUUCCCAGUCCGGAGCCUCCAGCGACGUUUCCCAGUCCGGAGCCUCCAGCGACGUGUCCCAGUCCGGAGUCUCCAGCCGCGGUCGGCAGUCCGGAACCUCCAGCGGGGGUUCCCAGUUCAGAGCCUCCGGCGAUGAUCCACGAUCCGGUUCCUCCUCCGACAAUCCACGGUCCGGUGAUACAAAAGCGGAGGGAUCAGCGGGCGGAGCGGGGGCUACGCCUCGAACCGGAGCCGCCACCAAGGGUAGAUGCCCACCUGGACCCUCCCCUAUAGGUUCAGGUUUGCGGCCGGGAGUCCGCACCUUUGGGGGAGGGGUACUGUCAUGCCCUGACCUGAGAGAGCCAAUUGUCUCUGUUUAGUUAGGUCAGUGUGUGAUAUAGGGUGGGCAUUCUAUGCAUUCUAUUUCUUUGUUUUGGCCGAGUAUGGUUUCCAAUCAGAGGCAGCUGUCUAUCGUUGUCUCU